UGGCAACUGGGCCAGCAUCUGACACCUGGCAGUUCUUGGGAAAUACCUGCACACGAAUGGAGGCAAGGCCUCUCUCCAGGGGAGGACGCUGAAGAGGUGAAAAGUGAGCCUCCUGCUCUCCCUUUGAGGCAAUUUGGCAUAGCCUGGGUUCUCAGAUCAGACGGAAGUGGGUUCAGUUCUCGGCUCGGAGCCACCUUAGACUGCUGGUUGAAAUACCUCUGGGCCUGUUCCUGCCUCUGGACAGUGGGAAGGUACUGAGACUACCUCUCAGGAUUGCCGCUACAGGAGGCGAGAGGGACACCUAACCUCAUCUCCGCUGGGCACAGAGACGGCUUCUCAGAAGAAGCGAUAUCUACACAAAGUCCUAAAGACCAAGGGGUCAGGUAAAAAGAUGAACAGUCUGUGGAAUGUUACAGAGAAAUGUUUAAACUGCCUUGUGUACUGAUGGACUGUGAGAGGAAGGUUUUGAAGGAACAUAUUUUUGGACAAAUGCUUGAUAGCUGGCUAGCAACGGCAAGUUAACAGUCAAAGAAGGAAAAGCCGGGAAAGUUAAAAGUAAUUCUUUCCAGGAACAUCUGAGACCCCAAAGCAGCAGAAAAAUGUGCAGAAAUGCAUUUUCUAGGGAGGACAUGAACACAGAGCUCCCAGAAGUGCUAAAGAAAUACCGUUUGUUAAGAUAAGUAUCCAAAAAAUACAUUCCCUGGGAAAACCAUGGCAGUAACCUGUAGAACGUUUCUUCAUUUUUAAAAUGGGUAUUUACUGUGCUUCAAUUAUAUGUACAUGUAUGUUUUCUGUUUGUCUUUUUGCCUGAGGCAGACUUCAUCUAUUCUUUUUUUUUAAAAGAAGAAAAACUUUUACAUUCUUUACGUACAUAUACCAGAAUAAAGGGCUUUGCAGUUAUAUUCCAGAAAGAAGAUUAUCCAUCAGAAUGGUUUCAGC
rnacentral:lncRNA from 1 species